GAGAGAGGGAGGCAGGUUAGGAGGGAGAGAGAGAGGCAGGUUAGGAGGGAGAGAGAGAGGCAGGUUAGGAGGGAGAGAGAGAGGCAGGUUAGGAGGGAGAGAGGGAGGCAGGUUAGGAGGGAGAGAGAGAGGCAGGUUAGGAGGGAGAGAGGGAGGUGAAUAGAGAGGCUUGGGUGUUUUUUUUGUACAAUGUGUUUUGUUGUUGUUGUGUUCUCUGAAUGGCAGGUUGCACUUAAAGUCAUCCAAUCUGCACAGCAAGGCAGAAAUUUACAUCACACAAAAGAGCACAGGCCAAUAGCCACUAGCACAGACCUGUGCAAAACAUAUACAGUACAAUACAAGUCAUUAUAGUCAGCAGUGUGAUUUAUUUGAAAACUUU
ensembl:lncRNA